GCCUGGGUGGCUCAGCCGGUUGAGCGUCUGACUUCGGCUCAGGUCAUGACCUCCCAGUUCGUGAGUUUGAGCCCCGCGUCGGGCU
rnacentral:tRNA from 1 species